rnacentral:rRNA from 1 species
GGUGAAAGUAGCAUCUAAGGCUAAAUAUUCAUCAAGACCGAUAGCAUACUAGUACCGUGAGGGAAAGUUGAAAAGUACCCCGGAAGGGGGGUCAAAAGCGCCUGAAACCAACCGGUUACAGACGUGUACAGCUUGAAAGGAUUUAGGUGGAGGUUCCGCAAGGGACUGAAGCCUUCUAGAGUUGUACGUUCCGUCUAGAAACACGGGCCAGGGAGCUUGUUGUUAUGGCGAGCUUAACCCGUUAAGGGGUAGGCGAAGGGAAACCAAAUUCGCGCAGCAUUAGCAAGGCGAAGGAUCUGAAAGGGUCUUGAGUCAUAGCAAUAAGGCUAGAAACCGGACGAUCUAUUCCUGGACAAGAUGAAGGUGGGCGAAAGCUCGCUGGAAGUCUGAAGGGGUCCUGACGUGCAAAUCGGUCCUCAGAUCUGGGAUUAGGGGUCAAAAACCAAUCUAGUCCGGUGAUCGCUAGUUCCCACCGAAUCGGNAGCUCGCUGGAAGUCUGAAGGGGUCCUGACGUGCAAAUCGGUCCUCAGACCUGGGAUUAGGGGUCAAAAACCAAUCUAGUCCGGUGAUCGCUAGUUCCCACCGAAUCGGAUCGCAGUCCUACCUUAGUUGAGAUGGCCUGUGCUGUAGAGCACCGAUCGGAUAGUAAGGGUUCGAAAGAGCUCGCUAUCCAUUCGAACUCCGAAUGUACAGGCGUCGUAGAAACUAGGAGACGGGUUUAUGUGGGGUAAGCCUCAUAACCGAGAGGGGGACAACCCAGACUAAAGUUAAGGUCCCCAAAUGUUUGCUAAGUGUCAAACAAAAGGGUGUCUUAGAGCAGAGACAGCAGGAAGGUAGGCUCAGAAGCAGCCAUCCUUUAAAGAGUGCGUAACAGCUCAUCUGCCGAGCUCUGAGGCCCCGAAAAUGGACGGGGCUCAAGUAAACUACCGAUACUUUAGAUCACCAACAAAGUUGGUGUAUGGUAGGUGGGCGUAGUGAUUGGGUAGAAGCUGGGUUGUGAAAUCCAGUGGACCGAUCGACUAGUGCAGAUCCUGGCGGCAGUAACAGCAUAGCCGGGUGAGAAUCUCGGCGACCGAAUGGGCAAGGGUUUCCCGGCAAUGCGUCGUCAGCCGGGAGUUAGCCGGUCCUAAGAACAACCUCAACAGAGUUGUCCGAAUGGGAAACUGGUUAAUAUUCCAGUGCCUUGAAAGAUCGUUACCACCCAUCUUGCUGCUUCAGGAUAGGGCAAGCAGAAUCGUCGUUCUGUCCAAGUUUUCAAGUUUUGGGGAGUGUCAUAAUGACGAGAUCCAAAACGAGAGAUGAAUGGUCCUCCGCAAGGAGGAUUUGCUCGAAUCCAGGAGACAAUGAAAACAAGAAUGGGAAGAUUCUUUCAAGACCGUACCGAGAUCCGACACUGGUGCCCUAGAUUAGUAGUCUAAGGUCUAUCGGGUAUACCGUAUGGCGAGGGAACUCGGCAAAAUAGCUCCGUACCUAUGGUAUAAGGAGUGCCUGCAGUUUUCAUGAAGAAUGGGAACCGCAGGUCGCAGUGACAAGGGGGUCCCGACUGUUUAAUAAAAACACAGGUGGUCGCUAGUCCGAAAGGAUGUGUAUGGCCUCUGUAUCCUGGCCAGUGGCGGUACCUAAAACCUGGGUUCAACUGGGCUAAGGGCCGCUAAACGCCGGGAGUAACUCUGACUCUCUUAAGGUAGCCAAAUGCCUUGUCGGGUAAGUUCCGACGUGCAUGAAUGGAACAACGAGGGCCCCGCUGUCCCCGCCUACAACCCGGUGAAGCCACAUAACGUGGACGAACAGUCCACGAACCUCUGUCGGGGAGAGAAGACCCUGUGGAGCUUUACUGCAGCCUGUUGUUGCGAUAUGGUGUCAAAUGCAGAGAGUAGCUGGGAGCCGUUAUGGUCAGUUCUCCGGGACUGAUUUAGGCAAAAGUGUAACACCAGCCAUUUGUUACCGUAUCGCUAACCUGUUUAACAGGGACAUCGGCAGGUGGGCAGUUCGGCUGGGGCGGCACCCCCUUGAAAAUGUAUCGAGGGGGCCCAAAGAUUGGCUCAGGCGGGACAGAACUCCGCCGGUGAGGGCAAAGCCA